rnacentral:lncRNA from 1 species
AUGGCACAUCUAAUAUAUUGCUCCCAUCUACACCACGGCUUUGACACGGCAGUGAUUGCCCGGCGAUUUCUUGCACCACUUUCCGAGGGGGAGCGGCGAGCUGCUGGCAGGGGGGUGGUUGGACCGGAUAAUCUCGGAGGUCUUUUCCAACCUUUAUUUUUCUGUGAUUGCCCCCCUCCCGGCCUCACAACCCAGGCGGGGGGCUCGGGGAGGGCUGCUGCCAUGCGGCGGGGCCGGGAGCCCUCCCGCUGCGCCUGCCGCGCCCCGCAGCUGCUUUCCCUGAAAAAAAAAAAAAAAAAAAAAAAAAAAAAAAAAAAAAGGAACGAAACGGGGAAGGCAGAUGCCAGGGCGGCUUCGCUGCCUGCUGGGCGUGCCGGGUGCGGCGGCGGGGGAUGGGGAGCCGAGCCGAGCCGCGUUAUGGCAGCACCGCCCCGCUGCAUCCCCAUCCCCAUCCUCAUAUCCUCAUCCCCCCGCGCCCCUCCCCGGGCCGAGCCGAACCGUGCCCGAGCCCCGGUGCCGGGAAGGCGCUGGGGAGAGGCUGCGGGUGCCGGGCGGGGCCGGCAGGGCGCCCCCACACCCGCCCCGCCAUGCGGCUGCCGCGCUGCGCUGGCGCAGGGCCGGCGGGGGGAGGAGAUGGAGGAGGAAAGGGGGGGAAGGCGCUGCCCUGCUGGGCUGCACCCCUGCCUGCCUCCGCCCGGCUGCCACAUCCCUGCAAAUCCCUGCCCCAUCACUGCCCCAGCGCUGUCUACCACUUCUCCAGCCCUCUCCACCCCUACUCCAUCCUUCCCUGCUCCAGCCCUACUCCAUCCCUGCCCACCCCUUCUCCAUCCAUCCCUGCUCACCCUUGCUCCAUCCACCCCUGCUCCAUCCCUCUUUGCCCCAUUCCUGCCCCACCCUGGUCUCUCCAUGCCCCAUCCCUGCGCCAUCCUUGUCCCCUCCAUGCCCCCUCUGGGCCCCUCCCUGCCCCCCUCCCUCUUUUCCUCCCUCCCUGCGCUCCUCCCCCCCCAGCCCGCCCCCUCCCCUCCUUUUCCUCCCCUCUCCUCCUUCAGCACCGUGGGCAGCUCCCGGCCGCGCCUGCCCUGGCCGCUCACAGCCCGCAGCCUCUCGAGCCGCGGGUGGGGGGCUCUGGGGACCCCCGCAGCCCCUCGAGGCGUCUCCCUCCCGGCAGCCGGCCUCUACCCCCCCGGCAUAAGCCCCCCUCGCUGCAGGCAGCCCCGUGCAGCCACAUCUCCGCCCUGCCGCGCACCCUCCCCGCUCCCGCAGCCUCCCCUCCGAAAGGCUGACUCGCCCCAAAAGAGACAAGCAGUCCCCGAAGGACAGCUGUCUGCGGGGGCAGGGUGUCCCCAGGAAGGCAAAUCACCCCCCCCAGGGUUGCCUCCCUCCCGGUACGGACCAACGAGCCAAAGCUGCCCCAGCGGGGGAGCCGUGGCGGCACCUCCUGCGCUGCGCCCCACGCGCGGUGAAUCACGGCAGCGCUCUGGGCACGGAGUGGGGCUGCUUCCUUCCCCCAGCCCGCUCCCAGACCGUGCUGCUCUCGCUUAG